rnacentral:rRNA from 1 species
GACGAACGCUGGCGGCGUGCCUAACACAUGCAAGUCGAGCGGGGGAAGGUAGCUUGCUACUGGACCUAGCGGCGGACGGGUGAGUAAUACUUAGGAAUCUGCCUAUUAGUGGGGGACAACAUCUCGGAAGGGAUGCUAAUACCGCAUACGUCCUACGGGAGAAAGCAGGGGAUCACUUGUGACCUUGCGCUAAUAGAUGAGCCUAAGUCGGAUUAACUAGUUGGUGGGGUAAAGGCCUACCAAGGCGACGAUCUGUAGCGGGUCUGAGAGGAUGAUCCGCCACACGGGGACUGAGACACGGCCCAGGCUCCUACGGGAGGCAGCAGUGGGGAAUAUUGGACAAUGGGGGGAACCCUGAUCCAGCCAUGCCGCGUGUGUGAAGAAGGCCUUAUGGUUGUAAAGCACUUUAAGCGAGGAGGAGGCUCUUUUGGUUAAUACCCAAGAUGAGUGGACGUUACUCGCAGAAUAAGCACCGGCUAACUCUGUGCCAGCCGCCGCAGUAA